CGCUGAAAAUAAUAACGAAUAAGAACCUCCUCUUUGCCCACGGCUGCUCCACAUGUAGACAAGAAUUGACAUGGGCCACCGUAAUUUUCGCUUACUUGAGGUCAUCAACAAAGGAAAAUCUUGCUUACUACGUAGAAAGUUGACAGAAAUAAUUGGGAGUCAUCAUUUCAAUAAUGGAUAUGCCAGAGAUAAAGUGAGAGGGAUGGAAAAAGCAUUGACUCAUGCAUGCAAAAGAUUAUUGCAAGUCAAGGGAAGGUUGCAAGGUUAAGGAGCAGAAUGCUACGCUGUCUUACUCGGCAACUUCACAAGAAUGGUUCCAUAUCUUGUGAGCUUCCUCCUAAUGGUCUGGAGAUGUGUUACAUGCAUCAGGCAGAGGUGAUGAUGAUGAUGAUGAUGAAGUGAGACAGAUGGAAGGCUCACAUGAAAAUGACUCGUGUAUUCAAAUGUGGAAAAUAAGCAGAAUAUAGCUUCUGAUUCUGCUUAUGAAAAUCUUGAAAUACAAUCAGAACUUACAGAGCACUCAACCUGAACAUACUGGCAAAAAUCCACCUGCCGAAAAGAGUGAUGAAAAGGAUAAUUACCAUGAAGCUAUUGUUUUAAAGCUACAGCCUUCAAGACCAGCUCCCACAAGGCCGCCACCAUAUGCUGUGUCAAGGAAAUUGAGCAAUAAAUCUGGGAGCGAAGUGGACCAUAAAUUGACAGAAAAGGUACAGUGCUGGCAUGUU